ACGGAAGGCAGCAGUGGGGAAUAUUGCACAAUGGGGGGAACCCUGAUGCAGCGAUGCCGCGUGGAGGAAGAAGGUUUUCGGAUUGUAAACUCCUGUCUUAAGGGACGAUAAUGACGGUACCUUAGGAGGAAGCUCCGGCUAACUACGUGCCAGCAGCCGCGGUAAUACGUAGGGAGCGAGCGUUGUCCGGAAUUACUGGGUGUAAAGGGAGCGUAGGCGGGAUGACAAGUCAGAUGUGAAAACUAUGGGCUUAACCCAUAGACUGCAUUUGAAACUGUCGUUCUUGAGUGAAGUAGAGGUAAGCGGAAUUCCUGGUGUAGCGGUGAAAUGCGUAGAUAUUAGGAGGAACACCAGUGGCGAAGGCGGCUUGCUGGACGACAACUGACGCUGAGGCGCGAAAGCGUGGGGAGCAAACAGGAUUAGAUACCCUGAUA
rnacentral:rRNA from 1 species